rnacentral:rRNA from 1 species
CCUGAGCCAACCCGCAAGGGAGGCAGGGCCCCAAGGAGUGGCUGGUAACUGGGGUGAAGUCGUAACAAGGUAGCCGUAGGGGAACCUGCGGCUGGAUCACCUCCUUUCUAAGGAA